GGUGUGAUAUAGUGGUUUAAGGCGCUGUGUUUAGGUCCCUAUUAUUUCCAAACCGCAGUGGGAAACCUCGUGGGUUCGAAUCCCACUCCUCUCA